rnacentral:rRNA from 1 species
UAAGCAUAUCAAUAAGCGGAGGAAAAGAAACCAACAGGGAUUGCCCUAGUAACGGCGAGUGAAGCGGCAUCAGCUCAAAUUUGAAAUCUGGCUUCGGCCCGAGUUGUAAUUUGUAGAGGAAUGUUCGGCGAUGCUUCGGUCCAAGUCUCCUGGAACGGAGUGCCUUGGAGGGUGAGAGCCCCGUAUACGACCGGUCGGCAGAGCCAUGUGAACAUCCUUCGAAGAGUCGAGUUGUUUGGGAAUGCAGCUCAAAAUGGGUGGUAAAUUCCAUCUAAAGCUAAAUAUUGGCCAGAGACCGAUAGCGCACAAGUAGAGUGAUCGAAAGAUGAAAAGCACUUUGGAAAGAGAGUGAAACAGUACGUGAAAUUGUUGAAAGGGAAGCGCUUGCAAUCAGACUUGCUCGCAGACGUUCCGCCCGUCACUGACGGGUUCAUUCGUCUGCGAUCAGGCCAGCAUCGAUUUUGGCGGUCGGAUAAAGGUUGAGGGAAUGUGACUCCUCUGGGAGUGUUAUAGCCCUCUUCACAAUACGGCCAGCCGGGAUCGAGGACCGCGUUCGCUUGGAUGCUGGCGUAAUGGUUGUUAGCGGCCCGUCUUGAAACACGGACCAAGGAGUGAAACAUUCACGCGAGUGUUUGGGUGUCAAACCCGCACGCGCAAUGAAAGUGAACGGAGGUGGGAGCCCUUGGGCGCACCAUCGACCGAUCCGGACGUUUUCUGAAGGAUUUGAGUAAGAGCGUGACUGUUUCGACCCGAAAGAUGGUGAACUAUGCGUGAAUAGGGUGAAGCCAGAGGAAACUCUGGUGGAGGCUCGCAGCGGUUCUGACGUGCAAAUCGAUCGUCAAAUUUGCGUAUAGGGGCGAAAGACUUAUCGAACCAUCUAGUAGCUGGUUCCUGC